UUGCGGCCACAUCAUGUUGAAAUAUCGGUUCCCGUACGAUCACCGUAGUUAAGCAGCAUCGUGCUCGACAGUAUCUAGAUGGGUGACAGCUUGGGAAUACCAGGUGCUGUAA